GAAGCAGCAUGCACCCGGAAGGCCGCCGCUUAGUUCGUAGAUGUCUGCUUCAGAAAACUCAAUGGCUGUCCAAAACAGGCCUACAAAGCCCUCUGAGUGCCUUCAAGAAUGGAACUGGGCCAGCUUGGUGGCACAUACUUUAAUCCCAGCACUCAGGAGGGAGAGGCAGGCUGAUUUCGGGAA